CCUAGCCCCCAAUCCCUUCCUUCCCGAGCCCCGCGCCCCACGCCCCACUCCAUCUCCUCCCAUGCACUCCGCCGCCGCCAUGGCCCUCUCCUCCUCCCCUCGGUUUCUCUUCUCUUGGCAAAAGGACGGCCGGCGUUCAACUCGGCACGACGGCGUUCAACUUGACAAAAGGGUGACACCUUCCUUCCUCUCCAAAGCAAGGGAAGGGAAGGGGAGGGGAGGGGAGGCCCCAGAUUGAGGAGCGGAGCGAUGCCCAGAUCCGCAGCGGCACCGGCACCGGCGCGCCGUCGUCCACGUGGUCCUCGAGAGGAAGGCCAUGGAUGGAUGGGGGCGGAACCAUAGCCCCACACCCAUCCAUGGAUGACGACGGCGGUGGCCUUCUCUCGGUCGGGUGGGGAGCAAAGCUUGCGGUGGCCCUCGACGCCCGCGACGGGCUGCAGCACCCAGACUUCAAAGGCAGGCCAUCACAAUGGAAAUGGAAGGAUGAGCACCAUGGCGGGCGUGCAGGCACGGUUUACACAAACACAUCCUGUUUCAAUGGCUCAAACUGUUGGUCCUCCCAUGGCAAUGUUCCCUGCUGGUGUUCAUGGAGUUAGUCAGCAACUUUUUUAUGAUCUGAGAAAGAAGAGAAGAAGAAUCCUGAGGAAGAUUUUGGUGAAGAACAAGAUGGCUAAUCAAAUGAUGUCUCUUCACAAAACAUUGAAGAUACAUAAUGCGCUCUGGCAUGCACAUACUUGUUUCACCGCAACCCCCACAAAAGGAGCAGCCUGGUGAGGAGGGAAAGCAUCACCAAUAUGGAUGAUACAAUCCAACUGUUAUCUUUGGUGUGUUUUUGGAUGGACUAAUCUGAAGAUGCUGGCUAGCUUGCACUGCCAUCAUAUAGUCUAGAAGCAAGGGCAAGGAUUAUAGGGAUAAUAAAGGCAAUUCACCAUCCGGAGGAAAUGCCAACUAAUAUUUUUUGGUACUAUUUCUGUUACCGAGAUUCAUCAAACACCGAAGGAGGUUAGUUUUUACCCGUGCAACAAUGGCGGCCAUCGUGGUCUUGUUGGAGCCUCCCUUGCUGUGGAAAGUCACAGGCUUCAGGGAGUGCCGGCACAGCCUGAACAGGUGCCACCUACACUGGAAGAAAAAAAUAUUAUUUGAAUUAUAUAAAGUGAACCAUGCUACAAUGGAAAAGAACCAUGCGAUGAAAAAAGAAAGGCACAAAGAGCUGCUGGAUGAUGAUUUCGAUGAUUAUGACAGCGACCAUUAUUAUGAAAGCCUACCUUAGCAGAUUCUUCAGUACUGAAUUCGGACCCGUGGAGGAAGCAAUAGUAAUUAACUUUUCUAGGAGUACUGAAUUCGGACAUGUGGAUGAGAUUCCCAGAGUUAGUGUCAGAUCAUCAGUCUCCAAGAUCACCACUUACCGCCAAUAUCACUGAGAAUGCUCCUUAUAACACUCAGUCCACAUGGUGAUGCAUGCAGUGAGAGCAAUGUCCAAAGCCAGCAUGAUGAUGAGUGCAGCAGAAGCAAUGGCGAAAGCCUGCCGGAUGGUGAAUCCACCUCAAAUGGUACUUUAUGUGAUUACUGUGAGCAUACUAAAGUAUGAUUUGAUCGAGUCAUCUGCAGCAAAGCCUGAUUUGAUUGUGUCUGAACCUCCUGAAAAAAUCGAACAAGGACCAUUACAGAAGCCUGAUUUGGUCGAGUCCGCACCUACAAAGAAACUUGAUUUGAUUGAAUCCAGUACUCCUAGGAAGGCUGAUUUGGUUCAGCCUGGGCCUGCAGGGGAGCUUCAUUUGGUUGAGUCCAGACCUUCUAGGAAUUCUCAACUGAUUGAGCCUGGACCUGCAAGGAAGCUUGAUUUUAAUCAACCCUGACCAACAACAUGCUUUGUUGAUCAUCCUGUUGAAAGGCCAGCAGUCACUCCAAGCAGCUACGAGAAUGAAAUGAGAUUCUGCUUCCACUCACAGUGGGUCGUGGAUACAAGCAAGGGCGGCACCAUUUCCGGUUCCACAGCUCCGAGCUGCAGCGGGAGCUGCUGGGCCGCCUGAGAUGCAGAUGGAGGCGCAGCUCCUCCGAGCUGCCGGGUCGCUGAGAUGCAGAUGGAGUCGGAUCACCUCCGAGCUGCAGCAGGAGCUGAGAUGGAGAUGGAGCCGGAGCACCUUCGAGCUGCAGCAGGAGCCGCUCCGCUGCCAAGCUGUAGUGUGAUCCACCGCGAAGAUGGAGCCCAAGGUGUUCUCACUUCAGUACAGUGGGGAGAGGAACAUGAUGCAUACCUUGAACUGGUUGAUGGAACCAAGACCAGCAGUCAUGCUAGACACGUGGUCAGCGCUGCGCAUCGUGGUGGCAGUUGGUGAAGCAACUAUUGGCGGUGUUUUUGUCUCUUAGCACUUGGCAUGAUUGUAAUAUUCUUUAUCUUUGAGGUCUAUGAUGUUACUUGAACUGUAAUUCUCGUGGAGCCUUUUGGCUUCUGGCUUUAAAUAUGCUGUCCGGAUGCAUAUGUAUAGUUUCGCACUACGAACGCAGAUACUAUUGAUACUAAACUGCAUGCUUAAAACACUAUUAUUGUAUCUGACAUUAUAUACAUGUAACAGUACUCCCCUUCCGAACAUUAUAUUGUUUCCAUCUGAAAAC
rnacentral:rRNA from 1 species